rnacentral:rRNA from 1 species
AACGAACGCUGGCGGCAUGCCUAACACAUGCAAGUCGAACGAGACCUUCGGGUCUAGUGGCGCACGGGUGCGUAACGCGUGGGAACCUGCCCUUAGGUUCGGAAUAACUCCCCGAAAGGGGUGCUAAUACCGGAUAAUGUCUUCGGACCAAAGAGUUAUCGCCUUUGGAUGGGCCCGCGUUGGAUUAGCUAGGUGGUAGGGUAAAAGCCUACCAAGGCGACGAUCCAUAGCUGGUCUGAGAGGAUGAUCAGCCACACUGGGACUGAGACACGGCCCAGAAUCCUACGGGAGGCAGCAGUGGGGAAUAUUGGACAAUGGGCGAAAGCCUGAUCCAGCAAUGCCGCGUGAGUGAUGAAGGCCUUAGGGUUGUAAAGCUCUUUUACCCGGGAUGAUAAUGACAGUACCGGGAGAAUAAGCUCCGGCUAACUCCGUG